rnacentral:rRNA from 1 species
UACGGAGGGGGCUAGCGUUGUUCGGAAUUACUGGGCGUAAAGCGCACGUAGGCGGCUUUGCAAGUCAGAGGUGAAAGCCCGGGGCUCAACCCCGGAAUUGCCUUUGAGACUGCAUCGCUAGAAUUGUGGAGAGGUAAGUGGAACUGCGAGUGUAGAGGUGAAAUUCGUAGAUAUUCGCAAGAACACCAGUGGCGAAGGCGGCUUACUGGUCCGGAACUGACGCUGAGGUGCGAAAGCGUGGGGAGCAAACAGG